UCUAGAACUCGAGAUAUGGGUUGAACACUUUAGUGUCUGGGUUGUAGGACAGAUUCUGACUUCUCUGUCGUUGCUACCAUUUGAACUUGAAAACGAUCCUUUUGAAUCUUGGACUCUUCAUGAAAGUUUUAGGCCUAUGUCUUAGCUUUCUAUC
rfam:Populus trichocarpa scaffold_8_contig_171, whole genome shotgun sequence.